rnacentral:rRNA from 1 species
UACAGAGGUCUCAAGCGUUGUUCGGAUUCAUUGGGCGUAAAGGGUGCGUAGGCGGCGCGGUAAGUCGGGUGUGAAAUCCCUCGGCUUAACCAAGGAAGUGCACCCGAAACUGGAUAGCUUGAGUACAGAAGAGGAUCGCGGAAUUCCCGGUGUAGAGGUGAAAUUCGUAGAUAUCGGGAGGAACACCAGUGGCGAAGGCGGCGAUCUGGGCUGAUACUGACGCUGAGGUGCGAAAGCGUGGGGAGCAAACAGG